AGGCUGCGGGGCUGGCUUCUCAGUGCCGCCUCAGUGUUCUGCUGUGGGGUGGGGGCAGGGAGGGGGGAGACAGAAGGAAGGAAACGACCCCGGGCCUUCCUCUUGGCGCGGUGGGUAGGUCCUGACAAGUCUUGGCAGCACAGCUGUUUCCCCAGGCCCCCGAGUCCCAGAGAAAGGAGUGCCUGAUGGGUAGGAGGCACCCGGUAAACGCUUCUUGAAUGAAUUCGUGACUCCAAUCCAACUGUUACCACAGCGAAGCAGCAGAGCAAAACACAUCCAAACCGAUGUCAUAUGUACUCAACUGCACACAGACGGGCCAGAAGACUAGGCGAUGAACGUAGAGAGAACUGGCACAUUUAGUACCAUUUCUGAAGCAAUGAUGGUACCUGCGGGUUUUCUUAUAGAGGAAAUCGAUUUGGGCAUUUCCAUCCUCACGGGAAGAUCCUGAUGGGAGAGUCUGUCCUGUUGAACGGCGAGGUGAGGUGGGGUGGACUCAAACGUCCUUAAGAAGAUAAAAAGAAGUGAUCAAAGUCCUUUGAAGAAGGAUCUAUUUCAUGACAGACUUCCAAAUUGUGAAAAGGACACAGAUCGCACAGGUUUCAGUGGGCCCAAUGGGUCACGGCAAGUGACCAACUGUAUUUGGCAUCUUGUCCCAUCGUACGCAGAGUUGGGAGCCCAUCUGACCAUCAUGUCCUGUCCUUGCUCAAGGAUCGCCCCCUGCAGGAUGUAUGAUGGAGAGCGGAGGCGCUGGGUCAGGCCCCACGUCUGUGUCCCUCCCCCACCCCGAGAUGGCUCUGUACUGCCAGGCGGUCCGUUCCACCUCACUUAGGGGCGUACUGCAUUUUAUAAUAAUUGGACGUUUGCAUUUCUCUCCACUGGGUUGCGUGCACAUCGAGGGGUCCCCAUUUCUUAUACAACCGUCCAUCCCCUCCCAUAAUAGGCACUUGCACACGUGUGCCACCCUAACAGACAAUAUGAAGCUGUGCUUUGAAUUCACUGCAGCCCUCUGGAAGAGAGAGAAUUAGCCCCAUACACCAAGGGAGAAACAGGUGUAAUUAAGUUAUUCACCCCAAGUCAUGCAGUUAGUGUGUCGGGGAGCCCGGUUAACAACCCGUACUAAGAACAUGAUCCCCAAAUCGACUUGAUUCCCAAACUCAGGCUCUCUAGCCUUGAUGCUUUUUCGCUGUGUAGUCACGGGCAGGGCUCGGCAGUCCUGAUGCGUUUCACCGU